rnacentral:rRNA from 1 species
AUUGAACGCUGGCGGCAGGCCUAACACAUGCAAGUCGAGCGAGCGGCGGACGGGUGAGUAAUAUCUGGGAAAAUGCCUGCUGGCGGGGGAUAACUACUGGAAACGAUAGCUAAUACCGCAUACUAUCAGAUGAGCCUAGGUCGGAUUAGCUAGUUGGGGGGGUAAAGGCCUACCAAGGCGACGAACCGUAGCUGGUCUGAGAGGAUGAUCAGCCACACUGGAACUGAGACACGGUCCAGACUCCUACGGGAGGCAGCAGUGGGGAAUAUUGCACAAUGGGCGCAAGCCUGAUGCAGCCAUGCCGCGUGUGUGAAGAAGGCCUUCGGGUUGUAAAGCACUUUCAGCGGGGAGGCGUUACCCGCAGAAGAAGCACCGGCUAACUCCGUGCCAGCCGCCGCGGUAAUUC